rnacentral:rRNA from 1 species
GCAUCGAUGAAGAACGCAGCAAUGUGCGAAAAGUAAUGCGAAUUGCAUGCUCUGCGAGUCAUCUAAUCUUUGAACGCAAAUGGCACUGUCAUGACAAGUGAUAGUAUGCCCGUUUGAGAACCAUAAAACCCAUCACCAUCAGUUGAUGGUGGAAUCUGCAUGUUGUCGUCUGUGUAUGUAUGUACGUAUAUCAUCGACUCGUGCUGAAUGCAUGUACUUGAUGCAUAUCCUGGCAAUGUGAUAAUAUCAUUCAUUGGAAGGAUGUGCUACCACAAGUACACAAAACGGGGGGGGAUGAUGAGGGCGCGACGGACACUGACGUCAUCAUCAUGUGUAUGUAUGUGUGUGUCCCGACGCCAUCGUCAUCACCCAUCCCAUCCAUCACUAUUGGUCUCAAAUCGGGCAAGGUUACCCGCUGAACUUAAGCAUAUCAAUAAGCGGAGGA